GUUUAUAUAGUUUAUAAAAAACAUAUCCUUUUCGUGGAUAAAUUGAAUAAAACAAUAUUCUAUAAACU
rnacentral:tRNA from 2 species